rnacentral:rRNA from 1 species
UACGUAGGGUGCAAGCGUUAAUCGGAAUUACUGGGCGUAAAGCGUGCGCAGGCGGCUUUGCAAGUCAGAUGUGAAAUCCCCGGGCUUAACCUGGGAACUGCAUUUGUGACUGCAUGGCUGGAGUGUGGCAGAGGGGGAUGGAAUUCCGCGUGUAGCAGUGAAAUGCGUAGAUAUGCGGAGGAACACCGAUGGCGAAGGCAAUCCCCUGGGCCUGCACUGACGCUCAUGCACGAAAGCGUGGGGAGCAAACAGG